CGGGCUGCCUGGUGCUGCUCCGCUCAGGCGCGGGGCGGGCAGCCCCGGGAAGGCCCCGCAGUUAAGGAAGGCCGCGGCACCGCCUCUCUCUUUUUGGCCCGAGCCGCCAUUUUGUAGACACGCGGGGGAGCCGCGCCGAGCGCCGCUCGCUGCCCUCAGAGUAAUCAGCCAAAAUGACGAACACAAAGGGAAAGAGGAGGGGGACACGUUAUAUGUUUUCAAGGCCAUUUCGCAAGCAUGGAGUUGUCCCUUUGGCCACCUACAUGCGCAUCUAUAAGAAGGGCGAUAUUGUUGAUAUCAAGGGUAUGGGUACUGUUCAACAAGGUAUGCCUCACAAGUGUUACCAUGGCAAGACUGGAAGGGUAUAUAAUGUUACUCAGCAUGCUGUGGGCAUUAUCGUAAACAAGAAGGUUAAGGGCAAGAUUCUUGCCAAGAGGAUUAAUGUGCGUAUUGAGCAUAUUAAACAUUCAAAGAGCAGAGACAGCUUCCUGCAGCGUGUGAAGGAGAAUGAAAGGAAGAAAAAGGAAGCAAAAGAAAAAGGCAUUUGGGUUCAGCUGAAACGUCAGCCUGCUCCACCAAGGGAAGCACACUUUGUGAGGACCAACGGCAAGGAGCCAGAGCUGCUGGAGCCAAUUCCCUAUGAAUUCAUGGCAUAAUAUGCUUCAGAAAACCUGCACUUCCUUUUAUUGAAGAUUACUUAAUUGCCUUGCCUUGGAUGGUGCUGGGUCACUAGAUAAUCUGCAACUUUUGCUUAUCAGUUUAGUCAUUUAUGUAGACUGUAAAUCUUGAGGACACUGAAAUUUGCUAAUGCUCAAUGAUGAUCAUCCUUCUUUGAUUACCUGAUGAGGUAAUGUGAGAGGACAUGGAAUAUUUCACCGGCGAACUGAGAGCAUAUAGCAAGACUCCUACAGUGUCAUUUGAAGAUUUAUUUUUUUAAUGGGAAUAGAGAUAACAGGCUUCAAAUCUCACUUAUUAUAAGCCUUUGAUUAAAGGGCCUCAGAUUAAUACCAAAGAACACUUGGUCCACAGCUGCAGAAAACUGCCUUUUUGAAAAAUGGCUGUGGGCACACAUCAGUGUUUCAUCACUGUAAGCCCUAAAAGAGGGAUCCCCAGGCCAAGAAACAUCCUUAGGAAAAAGUAGUAGUUUAGAAACAAGUCUCUUAAUGCCAAAGAGCGGCAGUUUUGAACUUUAUUUUUAUUGUUGUGAUCAGCCUGCAUAGCUGAAUACUUGAAUUUUGUGUGGAAAAGAUGAUUGGAUGUCUGAAUCUAAAUACCUACCUGGAUGCUCUAAUGCAUUCUUCCCACCUCAUUGAUUCUAUUUUAAUACAUCACAAAAAGGAAAAUACCAUAGGAAACUGAACCCAGUGCUACCUGCCUAGUGUUUAAUCAGAAGAACAUCUUUAGCUAACUCUACUUACUGACCAAUACUAUGGUUUUUUUCUUUUUCUUUUUUUUGAGUUAUGUUUGAAAUUGUGUAAAGGUUGCUAAAGAAACUGCUGAAGGUUACUUGCUCAGUCACCUUUGAAGAUAUGUAAGCUGAAUCUUAACUCUUAGGAAUGUAAAAGAUCAUCCAUAUCCAAGGUGUGAUGUAGGGCACUGCUUACCUACCUCAAGUAAGUGAUGCCAAAGUAAUGUCUACAUGUACAGGGUGUAAAACACUAAAGAAGCUAGUCACCUCAAGCACUUUGUAGGUAUUGACUAUUGAAAAUUCCAUAUAAAUGAAAGGAUUAAGCCCUGUUUAUAGUUAUCUGAUAUUGAAUUGUGGGUGCUCCCAUUCUCAUGGAAUGUAGUUUUUGGAUGUAGAAAUUGUUCUCUGGCUUGGCCUGAAAUUUAAGGGUGAAAGGCUUUGAGCACCAGAGGUUCAUAGUCACAGUGAGCAGGUACUGCAUUUGAUGUUUCUCCAGACUCCCAUCUCAGAAGAUGGAGCAGGCAGUAUAGUUGGAAUGACUUUGAAACUGCCUUGAAGAAGAUGGGGCAAAGCAUACCCAUUAACAGGCUGGUAUGUGAUAUUAGUGACAGUUCUUGAAUUUUGGCAUCAUAUGUAUUAGAUGUAGGGUGUACCACAGUUCUGAAGCAAGGCUGAUGAAUAUAUCUUAAAUGAAUGAGCCACAGCACUGAAAGUUAAGAUCAGGUGGGGUUUUCUUGGAACAGCUCAAUGUGUAUACUAAUGCAUAGACCUUUAUCAGCUGCUUUGGCUUGUAAGCUUUCUCAGCAAAUUCAAAUAAAUAAUUGACUUGCAAGAUAAGCCUCAUUUUCAUUUAGGCUUGGCUUGUUGAGUUAAGUGGGAGGCUUUUGUGGGGAAUGAUCUCUGGUAUUCUGUUCUCUGCUCAUGCGUGCCUGUGUAAGUUGCUUUGGUUCUAUAUGUUUUGUACUUUUCUGUCAAGAUAAAAGUGGUUUGGCCCUAGAAUCAUGAUAAAAUGGUUAACAGUAACUUGAGUAAGUGGUGGGUUGUUGAAAAUAAAUGCAAAAGUCUAGAACUAAAAAUUCUGGAGAAGCACAGAAAUGCUGUGCAUAGCAACAAUUUUCCAUGUAAUUGGUUUCUGUUUUGAAGGUCACUAUGCAGACAGUAGAAGCUCAUAUGCACAUAUUUGGAAGCUGUGUGUUGGCUGGGAGGAGAAGGAGGAAAUUCUUUCCUUGGUUAGGAUUCCCAGAAAUGACUGAAAAUGAAAUUGGGUUUGUGUGACAAGAAAAUUAUCUUUUUAAGGUUUCUUAAUGUCUGAAAAAUACAAAUUGAUGAAAGAUUUAACCUGUCAUAAGUUUAUAGACAUUACCUUGUAGUUACACUCAGUGCACUGGUGCUCUUCCUGAUAACCUCAGAGGUUUGCUAUUGAAGCUUGCUUCCCAUGUGCUUAGCUAUCUUGUUUUUGCACAGUCCUGACAAAAGAGGGAGAUCUAGGAAUUGAGAAGUUGCUUGAAAUCUGCCUGUUAGGAUAUCUUCAGUCACAGAGCUAGUUUCUAAAUUGAUGUGCAUUGUUCUUUAUGUAAGACGAUUUUAAAUAUAUACAGACCUUGCUGAAUAUUGGGGGGUGGGGGGGCAGCAGGACAUGGGCAGGUAUUCUGUAGUUCAGCACCUGUGCCUCUCUGGGCAUGUGAAGCAUUUUUCCUUAGUGGUUCAACAUACUCUGUAUGGGGUAUUGCACAUUAGACCCAUAAAAGAGUUGUGGCUGUAGUCAAUACUCUGCUGUCCUACUUUGAGGCGGUGCCUAGCAGGCAAAAACUUGUAGCUAGCAUGCCAGCUAUGUGCUAGGUGUUUCUUCUGUCUUCAUAUUGUUACAGAAUUGGAUUGUUUCGCUCCCUGAUACUUUGCAUUGUGACAAACUGUUGUGUUUAAAGCUAUAGGUGUCCCAUAUAUUUAGGCACACCCUGAGGGCUACUGGAAUUCAAGAAUCUCUAGUUUAACGGCCAGUCUCUCAAAAAUGUUGUUACUCUAUGUUACUUGUCUUUUAGGCUGCCUUCUAGUACAUGCACUUCAUAAUACCUGAGCUGGUGGUCAGGUUCCUGCUCUACAUCACAGGGGGAGAGUGAAGAGCUUAUGAGUAGGAUUAACUCAACUUCAGUGAACUGAUGGAAAAGACUAAAAUGACAGCUGUGAUUUAAGCCUGACUCUGUUGGGGAUUUACUGUCGGGUAGAUAGUGUCAAAAUUGCAUAGAUAAAUCCCUGUUCUUAGAAUCCUAGAGGUAGCAGUGAUAUUCCUUUUUGCCCAAUACUCUGUGUGUUUUGUAAGCAGUGCAGCUCCAAAUCUCCCAAUGGCUUACAGUUAUAUAUGCACACAUCCCAAAGAAUGCUUAGCUGCUGGGCUGUGGCACAUUGGGCUGGUUUUUUUUCCCCCUCCUCUAACCCUUUUGCUGAUGCUAUUGUGCUGUUGAGGCAAACUUAAAUAUUUGGUAAGACAAGGACAGAGCAAAUGACUGCAGGUGGCUUGGCAGCUUUGUUCCUAGGCCAGGCCCUUGCAGAAGAGAGAUUUGAUUAAAAAGUUCUCCCAUGUCCUAUCUGAAUAUGCCCACUGGGGAGGAAAUAAGAGAGCUUUUUCUCUGGCUUUCUUGGGUGGGUGGAUCUAGAGGCAUGAUGGAUGUGAUCUGAGAACAUCUAGUAGAUUGCAGCUGGUAGGCAUUUGGUGAAAUUUCUUCUGGUAAUCUGGUGAUAAUGGCAGGACUUCGUGUAUAUGUCCAGUGAUAGUUCUUUAUGGGGCUUUCUUUUGAGCUGUUUGUCAGCUUCAGCCUCUUUAGCAUAUCACUUGCACCAACGUCAGAGUUUUUCUGAGGGCUGUGUAGUCAGUAUUAGUGUGUGCUAAUUCUGUGUGUGACCAGGAAGGAUCAAAAAGAGCAAAAAGCACUGGGGAAGAGAAACCAUGUCUCUAUGCAGACUGCAGGCUGAGGAUGCCAGCAGGAAGCAGAUGAAGCAAGAAAGCCUGAGUGGGGUGAGAAAUGUGCAGGGACACUCCCAUCCCCAUUGCUGGGGGGAGGCAGAUAAGCAGCUGACACAAAGACAUUCUUUCUUAAUCUUCCUGUUGUAUUUAUCACAUAAGGGAAAAAGAUCUUGAGGUUUCCUUCCUUGUCCUUCUCUGCCCAAUUCUGGACUUGACAUUUUCAUGACCCUCAUGAUCAAAGGGACAGCUGGCCAUCCCAGGCACAGGUACCAUGCUGUGGGGUGUCCUGACAGGUUGCAGAGCAUGCCAAGAGCUGCGCAUACAGCUGCCAAAGAAAGUGAUCCUUUCUGUUCCAGCCCAGGUAGAUCAGCUCAGCAGGGCGCAGUGGGUUUCUCUGGUUGAGGGAUUGUAGAGAAAGAACAGUGGUUAAACUGGACCUGGGCUUGUCACUGUCUAGGCAGCAGCUUCUGGCUGGGAUGCAGGUAGUGCCUCCCACAGUGUAGGAAGACAUACUACUGCAAAUGAUUUUCCCCCUUGCUUGGAAAAGAGUACCAGCAUCCCCCUUGAUUCAGAGGGUGGUGGUAUGGAAGACACAAAUCAUUUCAUGUGAGACCUGCUUAAAUGUCUGUGAAUCUAUCUGUGGAGAUGCUGCCAAGGCCUGGGUAGGAAUCAAGUUUUCGCUCUUGGGGUUUACAUAGUCAUAACCAUCCUGGGUUAGGCACUGAGUAGGAACAUGGCUUCCAUCAGCAGCACCCAUACAGGUCAGGAACCCAAAGAGUGCAAACAUCUGGGUAAUGUUGCUGAUGUCUUAAUUCACACUAUUUGGAUGAUGGCCUUGGAGGCCUCAGUCACCAUUUUCCCCAUGCCCAUCCCAAACUGAUUGGUCAUUGACCAUCAAGAAUCGGGUAAUUUAAGGCUCCUCAGGGAUAACAGCUGCACUCCUGUACAUGGGCUUUUGCUCCUGAAAUUUCAUAGGAGUGUGGUGCAGCUGUACCAGCUCACAGCAAAGGCCUCACUAGUGUGCCUGCACAUAAGGGAGCUUUGCACCUGCUGCUGGUUAUCCCACAUCCUAAGGAUGAUAUGGCCUGCUAACCUUGAACCUAGAGCUUCUAGUGGACUGUAGCAACAGCUAGGACUCCCAGGAAAACACGGUGCACAUCUUGUUUCUUAGAGAAAAGGGGACUUGGAGGCUCUCCGUGUGUCCUUCCCAAAUGGCUACUCCAGCCACAGGGGAUUAGUCCCCUACCCACUCCUCCAAAAGUACCUAGUGUUGAAUGUUACCAGAACUUGGAACAGGGAGGUGAUCAGGCAGCCAGACUCUGGUGUCAGAGGGAACACAAGUGGGACUAAAUCUUGUUUCUGUGAGAGAGGCCUCAUAUAGAUGAUAGGGAUGGUGGCAUGUGCAGUCUGCAAGGGAUGGGCAGAAGUACAGCUUGAUGCUUCCAAGCGGGACCUGGAGUUGAGAAAGCAAAGGCUUCUUGGGAUAACUUUGAACUUCUUGGGGAGUUUGGCUCCACAGGAUGGCAACUGAUCUAAUCUGAAGUAAAGCCUCUGAACCACAUGUGUGAGGAACCUCAGCUCCAACUGCUUCAACCUCCUGAUCUGGACCAUUGCACCAAAGUAGUUGAUGUAGACGCAGCCCAUUCCUCCCUGGAAAUGAAUUCCCUCACAGUGUUUCCUACCCAGUCAGAUGCUAGUCAUCUCUGAGCAGGACACCACUGGCUUUCCUUGGGGUGUGGGAGAGUGGUGGUGGGGGAUGUUCUAAGCAGCAGACAAAGCAGCAUGAGCAUUACAGCUUCCCAGAAACAGGAUGAGCUCCUCAAGUUUUGGGGAUAGUGUUGAUUAAUACUGCUACUUUCACAACUCAGCAGCUGCCAAUCAUCUGCCUGGAAUGGACUCAUUUUAAUAAUGUUCUUUCAAGAGCACAAUGAAUGUACUCUGAUAGCUCUUUUGUAAAGAAAAGCAUAAAAAUAGCUUGUGUUUGUGCCGUGUGCAAGGCCAAAGACAAGUGAUGGUGCAUGACAAUGGGAGCAGAUGACAAUAGCAUUAACCUCUGGGAACCAAAAGCUUUUAGUGAUAAAAGAGAAAUCUUGAUUACAAAAGAAAAAGGACUCACUGGCAUGAUGGGAAGUUUUGAAGUAGAAAUUUUAGAAACAAUCAGUUUGCAAGGUUAAAAAUGGCCUUGAUACUCUAGGGGUUCUUAAGCACUGAAGUAAUACAAAUAGUAAACAGCACUUAUUCCACAAUGUUUUUCCUAGGCACUACUGUAACUGCUGUUAAUUAGCUUGGUGUUAACUACUCUGAGAUAUGUGGGACCCUUCACUACCAAGUAAAGUGGAGUCUUUAUCAGCAAGGGAGUGAAAAUGCCUGGAAACAGCCAGCUGCAAGUCUGGGCCAAGGGUGGAGAAGAAGGAAAGUGAAUUUAAGCCCCGUCUUGGCAGCUUGAUGCCCCCCAUGCAGCCCCUGAGUGCCCCCGUGCCAGGUCUGCGCAGCCCGGCUGGCAUGGAGCUGGCUUCCCCGUGACACUGGACCAUGAAACUACAAACCCUCCCUGGGAUUUAGACGCUAAUUGGCCCUUCUGGUCAAGCUCCUUUCAAAUACCAUGUUACUGAAAUCUUCCAUGUUAUUUCCCACUAGCUUGCGUUGUCUCUGUGACAAUAUUAAAAAGACAGCCCUUUAACGAAUUAUUUGAUCUUGGAAACGCUUACGUGCUUGCAAAGCAGUGUGCUGCAGCAGCAAUUUUACUGAAGCCAAGGCAACGGUUCACACAAAAAGAUUUAAGCGUAAACACAACUGUUUGCAGGUUUGAGGCUUCAACUGCUAAAUUAGGAAAUUAAGCCCUCAGGAUGGAGCACCUUUCUUUUCUGAAACUUUGUUUCACAUUAAAAACCAAAAGGGGCCUAAUUCAAACCUCAAGGCCAAGUGGACCACUCCAAAUCCAAGGCUGGCUUUUGCCUGGUGUGCAAGCCCAGAUUUCAACAACAGCAACAGAGGAAUGUAUCCAUAUGUGACAAACAAAAUAGUCUGAGAUACAACCAUUUCCCCCUCUUCUCCUUUUGCGACUGAAGAAACUCGCUGUGGGGAGAACGAGGAAAGCAGGUGCUUGUUCCUGGUGGCGGUGUGCGAUGUGGCCUCACUCCCGGCUUCUUUUUUCGGCAUUGUGGGUGAACUGAAACUUUCUGUGCUGUGAAUCUGCAUAUGUACAAUUCUUUAUAAAAUUUAUAAUUUAUAAAUUUUAAAAUUUAUAAUAAAUUUAUAAAUAAUAAAAUAAUAAUUUAUGUAUAAAUUUCA